rnacentral:lncRNA from 1 species
AGAAAAGACAGUGACUUUUGAAAAAUAUUCCAUGGGCUUGGAUCAUCUAAGUGUACUGUAGCUUUAUUCUUACAGGCAAGAGAAAUGAGGAACAUUUUGGAUAAUGGUACCAGGCUGCUGAAUUUGUUAUUUGUUUUAAAUGGGACUGGCCUUACUAGUUAGACACAGAAGGACCUGAUUUGAAGUCAGCAAAUAUGUUUCAGGGUGACAAGUACAAAUAGUUUCGAGGCACUCCGCAUGAUAAGAAAUAGCACAUCUUUUUCCUUCCCGAGUCAGUUUGAAAUGGGUUUUGAAACAAGACUUCAGUGCUGAAAUGUGGAGGUGCUCUUAACAUCUAUUAAGAUAAAUACUGUAAAUUCCUGUCAAGAAACCACCACAGUGUACAGAAAAAAUGACCAUUAAAAAGAGAGACCAUUCUGGAGUAUUUCUCGGCCCUAAGGAAACAUCAAGUGUGACCCCUCUGAUGGCUCUCUGUAGAUGUCCACGAACUGGGAGGCAACACCAGA